GGAAGAUCCUCUGCUGGAAACUCUGGAUAAAGUAAUUCAUAAGGAUGCAUCCGUCCAUACGAAUUCCUUGGAUUCGAAUGGCAGCUUGGUUAUUGAGCCUCUUCCCGGGCUUGAAACAAUAAUUGAGGAAUUAAUGCAAGAAGACGGCAUAUACGAUAUUCUAAUCAGUCGACAAGGAUUUGAGAAACGAGUUGUUUCACAGGACUUACAGCUUUGGUUGUCGAAUGCACCAGCUACUGGGGAUCAGUUUACUCUACUUGCUCGGGCUGGAAGACAGGUGCAAGAAAUACAACUGACAACAUCACUUGAUCAAGAAGGAAUAAAAAGGGCUCUGCAACGAGUCCUAGAACGUGUACCAUGAGUCAAAAUGCACGUACAACCCCAAUCUAAAGUUAACGGAGAAGUUCAGAUGGAUCGUUAUUUCAAGUUGUGCAGGCUUUGUACAGAACACUAAAACUACUUCAAAAAAUGUAUAAACAAAC
rnacentral:misc_RNA from 1 species